AUUGAACGCUGGCGGCAUGCCUUACACAUGCAAGUCGAACGGCAGCACGGGUGCUUGCACCUGGUGGCGAGUGGCGAACGGGUGAGUAAUACAUCGGAACAUGUCCUGUAGUGGGGGAUAGCCCGGCGAAAGCCGGAUUAAUACCGCAUACGAUCUACGGCUUAAAGCGGGGGACCUUCGGGCCUCGCGCUAUAGGGUUGGCCGAUGGCUGAUUAGCUAGUUGGUGGGGUAAAGGCCUACCAAGGCGACGAUCAGUAGCUGGUCUGAGAGGACGACCAGCCACACUGGGACUGAGACACGGCCCAGACUCCUACGGGAGGCAGCAGUGGGGAAUUUUGGACAAUGGGCGAAAGCCUGAUCCAGCAAUGCCGCGUGUGUGAAGAAGGCCUUCGGGUUGUAAAGCACUUUUGUCCGGAAAGAAAUCCUUGGCCCUAAUACGGUCGGGGGAUGACGGUACCGGAAGAAUAAGCACCGGCUAACUACGUG
rnacentral:rRNA from 1 species